AGAGUGAACGCUGGCGGCAGGCCUAACACAUGCAAGUCGAACGGCAGCACAGAGGAGCUUGCUCCUUGGGUGGCGAGUGGCGGACGGGUGAGGAAUACGUCGGAAUCUGCCUAUUUGUGGGGGAUAACGUAGGGAAACUUACGCUAAUACCGCAUACGACCUACGGGUGAAAGCGGAGGACCUUCGGGCUUCGCGCAGAUAGAUGAGCCGACGUCGGAUUAGCUAGUUGGCGGGGUAAAGGCCCACCAAGGCGACGAUCCGUAGCUGGUCUGAGAGGAUGAUCAGCCACAC
rnacentral:rRNA from 1 species